GACGAACGCUGGCGGCGUGCUUAACACAUGCAAGUCGAACGGUGAAGCGCCUUCCUUUUUGGUGGGAUUGGAUGAGUGGCGAAGGGGUGAGUACCACGUGAGUAACCUGACACCUUCUUCUGGAUAACCGCAUGAAAGAGUUGCUAAUACGGGAUAUUUUGGGUCUGUUGCUUGAUGGGUCUGGGAAAGUUUUUGUUUCGGUGGGGGAUGGGUUCGCGGCCUAUCAGCUUGUUGGUGUGGUGAUUGCCUACCAAGGCGAGGAAGGGUAGCCGGCCUGAGAGGGUGGACGAUCACACAGGGACGACGCGACGGCCACGACUCCGACGGGAGGCAGCAGGGAAGAUUAUGGCACGAGGGGCGCAAGGCUGAUGCAGCGACGCGGCGUGAGUGAUGGGCGCCUGCGGGUAGUAAUCCGCUAUCGGCAAUGAAGCAAGCCUGCCUCGACUGUGGGUGUGUUGACGGUAGCUAGACAGAAAGCGCCGGCUAACUACGUG
rnacentral:rRNA from 1 species